rnacentral:rRNA from 1 species
AGUCGAGCGGACAGAUGGGAGCUUGCUCCCUGAUGUUAGCGGCGGACGGGUGAGUAACACGUGGGUAACCUGCCUGUAAGACUGGGAUAACUCCGGGAAACCGGGGCUAAUACCGGAUGCUUGUUUGAACCGCAUGGUUCAGACAUAAAAGGUGGCUUCGGCUACCACUUACAGAUGGACCCGCGGCGCAUUAGCUAGUUGGUGAGGUAACGGCUCACCAAGGCAACGAUGCGUAGCCGACCUGAGAGGGUGAUCGGCCACACUGGGACUGAGACACGGCCCAGACUCCUACGGGAGGCAGCAGUAGGGAAUCUUCCGCAAUGGACGAAAGUCUGACGGAGCAACGCCGCGUGAGUGAUGAAGGUUUUCGGAUCGUAAAGCUCUGUUGUUAGGGAAGAACAAGUGCCGUUCAAAUAGGGCGGCACCUUGACGGUACCUAACCAGAAAGCCACGGCUAACUACGUGCCAGCAGCCGCGGUAAUACGUAGGUGGCAAGCGUUGUCCGGAAUUAUUGGGCGUAAAGGGCUCGCAGGCGGUUUCUUAAGUCUGAUGUGAAAGCCCCCGGCUCAACCGGGGAGGGUCAUUGGAAACUGGGGAACUUGAGUGCAGAAGAGGAGAGUGGAAUUCCACGUGUAGCGGUGAAAUGCGUAGAGAUGUGGAGGAACACCAGUGGCGAAGGCGACUCUCUGGUCUGUAACUGACGCUGAGGAGCGAAAGCGUGGGGAGCGAACAGGAUUAGAUACCCUGGUAGUCCACGCCGUAAACGAUGAGUGCUAAGUGUUAGGGGGUUUCCGCCCCUUAGUGCUGCAGCUAACGCAUUAAGCACUCCGCCUGGGGAGUACGGUCGCAAGACUGAAACUCAAAGGAAUUGACGGGGGCCCGCACAAGCGGUGGAGCAUGUGGUUUAAUUCAAGCAACGCGAAGAACCUUACCAGGUCUUGACAUCCUCUGACAAUCCUAGAGAUAGGACGUCCCCUUCGGGGGCAGAGUGACAGUGGUGCAUGGUUGUCGUCACUCGUGUCGUGAGAUGUUGGGUUAAGUCCCCAACGAGCGCAACCCUYGAUCUUAGUUGCCAGCAUUCAUUGGGCACUCUAAGGUGACUGCCGGUGACACCGGAGGAGGUGGGGAUGACGUCAAAUC